CAGUCGCCACGGUAAUACAGAGGGUGCGAGCGUUAAUCGGAUUUACUGGGCGUAAAGCGUGCGCAGGCGGUUAUAUAAGACAGAUGUGAAAUCCCCGGGCUCAACCUGGGACCUGCAUUUGUGACUGUAUAGCUAGAGUACGGUAGAGGGGGAUGGAAUUCCGCGUGUAGCAGUGAAAUGCGUAGAUAUGCGGAGGAACACCGAUGGCGAAGGCAAUCCCCUGGACCUGUACUGACGCUCAUGCACGAAAGCGUGGGGAGCAAACAGGAUUAGAUACCCCAGUAGUCCCUGUCUCUUAUAC
rnacentral:rRNA from 1 species